AGAAUUCCGCGAAUCAUCGAGUCUUUGAACGCAAGUUGCGCCCGAGGCUUGUCCGAGGGCAUUUCCGCUAGAGCGUCACC
rnacentral:rRNA from 1 species